ensembl:lncRNA
GAAAUGGAUGAUGAAGGACUCCAAACAGUUUUAUGUGAGGUUGAAGCUAUAAUGAACGACAGACCCAUUACUAAAGUUUCAGAUGACUCAAAUGAUCUUGAAGCACUGACACCCAAUCACUUGUUGUUGCUGAAAAAUAAACCAGUUUUUCCACCAGGACUGUUUCAUCCAAGUGAUUUGCAUGUCAGGAAAAGGUGGAAACAGGUACAGUACAUGGCAGAGUUGGAAGAGAUGGCUUUCUGAGUACCUACCUUUGAUGCAAGAAAGACAAAAAUGGAUGAGGACUAAAAGAUGUCUUAUACCUGGAGAUGUUGUUUUAAUUGCAGACGCUACAGCUCCAAGAGGAUCAUGGAUGAUGGCGAAAGUCUUAAAUGUAAACCAGGAUGCAAAAGGCUUGGUGCGUUCUGUGAGACUACAAACAAGGACCAGUGUUUUGGAAAGGCCAGUGACAAAACUUAUUUUGCUACUGGAAGCCUCAUCGUGAAGAAAAUCCUCAAUGAAAAUUAAGGAUUUGUUUAAGGGAAUAGCUCCUCCUUUUGGGACUUUAAAGUAAUUGUGAUUGUAUGCACAAUUAGGGGCCGGAGGGUUGGAGCUAUUUGUUAUUUAUUUAUUUAUUUAUUUAUUUAUUGUGAAAUUAGUUAAUGUUUGUUGUUAGUUUACUUAUAUUUUGGGGUUUAAUUGUUGGUUAAUAUUUUGUUUUAAAUGAUUUGUUUGUUUGUUGUUAUUUUGUUAAAUUUAGUUAGUAAGAGCUGUAGGGCCAUUUUGUUUCUAUAAAUAAAGAGACUGGUAUAGGACCAGCAUGCAUUGGGGUGGGCCUAUGGUUUUUUUUACCAGAGCAGGAGAAGCAGCAGGAAGGAUCUUGUUAUUGCUUGCCAAGAUGGAUAAAUAAACCAAAACCAAAACUUUCAACUAAAACGUUUGGACAAUGGACUUCUUUUGCCUGCGUACGAAAUAUUACCUCAAUGCAGCAGUGGCUUGUGGACUUUAAGUUGUGGGACGUUUGAUCUUUCAAAAGUAAAGGAAUUGCCACUACAACUCCAACACAGCAUAGCUGCAACCAUGUUGCAUGAACUGACAGGUGAUGGCAGAUGUGAGCCAGAGGAGGGCGCUGUUGUGCGGGCAGGGAUCACACAAAGCCCAUAUACUGGAUUGAGGUGAAGGGAUUCUUAAAUCAUAAUUAUUGUGUAGUUAAGACCAACAGUGGUUUUCAUGGUUUCCAGGGACCUGCUGGAGUUCGGGGUCCUGGAGGUCAGG